rnacentral:rRNA from 1 species
GAUGAACGCUGGCGGCGUGCCUAAUACAUGCGAGUCGAGCGAACAGACGAGGAGCUUGCUCCUCUGAUGUUAGCGGCGGACGGGUGAGUAACACGUGGAUAACCUACCUAUAAGACUGGGAUAACUUCGGGAAACCGGAGCUAAUACCGGAUAACAUGUUGAACCGCAUGGUUCAACAGUGAAAGACGGUCUUGCUGUCACUUAUAGAUGGAUCCGCGCCGCAUUAGCUAGUUGGUAAGGUAACGGCUUACCAAGGCGACGAUGCGUAGCCGACCUGAGAGGGUGAUCGGCCACACUGGAACUGAGACACGGUCCAGACUCCUACGGGAGGCAGCAGUAGGGAAUCUUCCGCAAUGGGCGAAAGCCUGACGGAGCAACGCCGCGUGAGUGAAGAAGGUCUUCGGAUCGUAAAACUCUGUUAUUAGGGAAGAACAAAUGUGUAAGUAACUAUGCACGUCUUGACGGUACCUAAUCAGAAAGCCACGGCUAACUACGUG